AGGGUUCGAUUCUGGCUCAGGAUGAACGCUGGCGGCGUGCAUAACACAUUCAAGUCGAACGGACGACCCGGAGCUUGCUCCGGGAAGUUAGUGGCGGACGGGUGAGUAACGCGUGAGCAACCUGCCUGUGUGAGCGGAAUAACGUCCGGAAACAGACGCUAAUACCGCAUGACUCACGGACUUCGCAUGGAGACCGUGGCAAAGAUUUAUCGCACACAGAUGGGCUCGCGUCCGAUUAGGCAGUUGGUGAGGUAACGGCUCACCAAACCGACGAUCGGUAGCCGGACUGAGAGGUUGAACGGCCACAUUGGAACUGAGAAACGGUCCAG
rnacentral:rRNA from 1 species